AUCCCAGCUCCAGUAGCGUAUAUUAAAGUUGUUGCAGUUAAAAAGCUCGUAGUUGGAUUUCUGGCCUGACGAAACUGACCCGCCGCGGUUACGUGUGUGAGUGUCGGGCUUCGUCUGCCAUCCUUCCAGAAAACGUUUCUACCCCCACUGGGUUGGAUUCGCGAUCUGGAGCUUUUACUUUGAAGAAAUUAGAGUGUUCAAAGCAGGCUUGCGCUGUGAAUACAUUAGCAUGGAAUAAUAAUUUAGGACUCAGGUCUUAUUUUGUUGGUUCUUAAGAUCUAAGUAAUGAUUGAUAGGGAUAGUUGGGGGUGCUAGUAUUCAGCGGCCAGAGGUGAAAUUCUUGGAUUCGCUGAAGACUAACUUAUGCGAAAGCAUUCACCAAGGAUGCCUUCAUUA
rnacentral:rRNA from 1 species